AGUCACAUCACGUUGAAUCACCGGUUCCUGUAGGAUCACUGAAGUUAAGCAACGUCGAGCCUGGUUAAUACCGAGAUGGAUGACCGCUCGGAAAUACCAGGUGAUGUAAG